CUUGCUAACCUAUGACAAUGGGCUAAUCUUAAAUUUUCAUUGCUGUUGCUGCUGCUUUGUAGUCACUGAGCAUUUUGAAUUGAAAUGAAUUUUUGCUACCUGAUGAAGCUGAUAUGUGGUUUAUUUCUACCCCGGACUUCAGGUUGUGUUUUCAGUCCCAGCGCUCCGGAGACUUGUUUGGUCACUGUUGCAGUGCAACUAAUGAGUCUCAUGGCACACCCAGAGGCACAAGUUCACCUCUCAUAUUGAACCUGCAUGAAUGCUUCUGUGUGCCUGUUAAUUUUGGCUGGGGGUAACCAAAGGUGGCUGGAGAUGAUGCAGAGAAAAUUACUCUCCUGUGUUUUCUUAGCUCGAGAAACAUCAUCUGCCUGGUAGAUCAAUAAGCAAAUGCAUUUGUUUUUGACAAAUGACUGAAGAAGAAAGAAGAAAAAUUCUGUUUCUGCAGUCACAUUUGAGCUUUCAGUUCCAAGGACACAGCAUCCAAGAGCCUGAAAGACUUAUUUUUGCUGUUGAAGGUGGCAAUGGUGAAAUGCACAUCUAAUGAUCUUGCUUUCAAGACUCUCCAAAAUUUCUGGUCAGCUUGCUGCAGGGCAUGGGCUGAGCCCUGCUGUCUUCAGGAACCAUAUACCCUCUGCUGCAGAAGGACUACCAGGUUAUUGUUACAGGUAAGGACUGAGUCUUUCCUUGCAUGCGUGCAUCCUUUGCACUAUGUAAAGCAAUAGGUUGCACUGCUGAUUCUGGAGCUUUCUCCCUGAGUGCCUUUUUUGGGCCUUUGGGACCCAAAAAGCAAUGAAGAGAGACUUACAAUAAAGUUAGGUGGGAAAUGGAGCAUGUUCAUGGUCACAGAGUGUUGGAGUGAGUUUGAGGAAUGACAAGACUGAGACUCCUGAGCAAUUCUCUCUAUUUGAUCCUAAUUGCUGGAGAAAGGAUUUUGUUCUGGUACAGUCAGUAGUGUCAAAUGAACACUGUGUUGCACAUCUUUUUCUUUUUGGGAUGUAGUAUAGUACCUUUCUCUAAUUUUACUAAUGUAGGCAGUCAGAAUAUAGAGGUUUGCUUUCUCCCUUCAGCUGUGGCCUUUUUAUGACAUUUCCUAAGCUGGUCUGGAAGGAAUUAGCACAGGGCAUUGUACAUAGCUCAGUCCUCUUGUGACUGUGACUGGCAAAUCUGACUUGCAUGGGAUGGGAUAAAGUAGCUCUGAUGUCUCUUACACAAGUGGCGGUGGGGUCCCCCAAAACAAGUAAGAGACCGAGAGGCUAACAGUCUGUUUUGUUUCAGUUUGGGGUUGUAUUUUUUUUCUCCCUAGAGUGGACCAGUGUGUUGACAUUUGUAGCCUUAGCAAAUGAUGGUGUCUCCCACAUUUCUAGGUUAGUGGGAUAGUGGAGUUGGGUGUGCUGGGAGUAGCCUCUCAUUCCUAACGUUACACUUGGGGAGUAUUUGCUUAGUAGUGGUUUUGAGAAAAGAGGCUUGGACAGCCUGAUGUGCAGGGCUGCCAUAGAGUGAUGAGAUCACAUUUUUGCCCCGAGUGCUCCCUCUGAUUCCACAGAAAUGUCCCGGCAUGCUGGCAACAGCAUGGGAUGGGCAGAAGAUGGGACAAAUAUUUGGUCUUUUAAAUUCUUCUUUAUUUAUCUCUAGUGGCUUCUAAAGAGCAUUUCGCCCCUCCAGGCUUCCUCCCCUUUUCAAUUCUACUGUUUUGAGGGGAAAAGACUGAUUCUUUCCUUUCCUUUUGGGAAGUAGUUUGGUUAUAGUUUAGUGUUACUUCUCUCACCUCAUAUCAUAGUGUUUAGCAGAUGAACACUUACCUCAGCACCCAGAUUCCCACUGCACAGUCCGAGCCCCUGGAUCAGACAAUUUCAGCAGCUGUAGACGAAAUAGUUUCUUUUCCCACCCCCAUAACCUUUCUGCAGUAAGCCUUACCCAUUUUAUUCUAGUGCAGAUGGUAGGAUGGUUGGUGUCUCACAGGGGUAAAGCACUGGCUCUCUUCAGCUCCAUCUCUGAGGACCAUGCAGUCAAGUGUUUUCAGUACCCAGUACAAAGGGUAAAGGCUGCAUGUAAAGUUCACUGAUGUUUCUGAGACUUACUGUUGACUGCCUGACUCCCAGCCCUUUAUUUGGCACAGGUAGCAUGUGGUGAAUGACAGCACAAUAGACUGCAAACCAGCUUCCAUAUUUUAAUCUGGUUUUUUUUCUACAAGGGAAGGGAGAUUUUUUUUCCUGGCAUUCCUCCACAGCUUUGCACAGCCUGAAAUUAAAUUGCUAGAGCACUGUGCUAAGAGAUUUUAAUUUACAUUUCAAUAGUCCAAAGUAGCAGUUACUAAAUCUCCUUGUUGGAGUAAGCUUAAGGUUCUGGUUAGUCACUAAAGUUUUUGGUAUUGGGGAGAAAUAGGUAUUUAUCUGUGAGGGUUAAGGUAUAAUUUGUUUUGCUGUGGAAGGGUAUGAGCACAGGAACUCUGUCCCUCUGCUAGAAGGGUUUAAAAAGUACCAACCCAUGGUUUUUAGUUAGUUCCACCUCAGCUGAGGAGAGACACAGGAGAAGCAGACUUGUCUAACCUAAUGCUGCUCAGCCUGGGUGAAGAGGAUCAUGCAGUUCCCCUUCCCUCCUGUACCCCACUGUGCGUGAUUUAUUAAGUUAAUGGAGACAAAAGGGGCCAAAAAAGGUCAAGAAGCAUAGUUUGAUGCACAGGUAAAGGAGGCAUGUGCCUAGAAAAUCAGGGAUAUGAGAACAACCUUGUUUCCAAACUCAGUUCCUGGCAGAGCCUGGAGAGCUGCUGCAUUGACCCCUGGGAUGUGAAUGAGAGGGGCAGCCCUGGCAGCCCUUCCUCUCCCUGCAACUCCCUCAUCCUCUGUCCCGGUGCUGAGACCAGAUGAAGCUGUCCAAAGGUGCUCCUGGGCUGGCCCCUCCUCUCAAUGCCAGCCCCUUUCCAUCCUGCCUAUCCACAGCUACUCUAUCCUAUAGGACUGGAUUGCCUGUAUCACUGACAGGCAGCUCGGUAGCUCCACACUUGAUGGCUUGGGCAACCUUAAACAGUGUAUUUUGUGCUGAGGUUAUUGCAAGAGAAGACAUAGCAGCUGGUGGAAAAUGCUGAGAUAUGUUCACAGCACGGGUGGCAUGAGGCAUUCCGUCCUGUCCGCUGCCUGGGCAGCUGUGAGAGGCAAUGCUGCAGUGAGGACAUGGGUCUGGCAGGCAGAAUGAAAACCAAAUUACUGUAGUGGAGAGGGAAAUCUGUUCCUGGUUUACUGAUGCUUAAAAGAAGCUAGACUUCUGUCUUCUGCAGUUAUUUUUCUGUGUUGAUCUUCUUCCUUUUCACAAGGAAAGUUUUCCCUCACUACCCAGACCUCCCUGGUGCAAAGAGUGUGGUGGUGGGGAGUUAUGUUCUCACCCGACAGUGGCUUUUCCAACUUGUCUCUGUAGUGUCCAUGCCAAGGGAGAAGGAGAUGUACAUGUGGCCCUGACAACACCUGAUGAGGAUACCCUAGGAUGUAGGGCAAUUCUGUAGUGUAUGAAGCUGCUGCACCUUUAUUUUUAAGUCUCUUCCUUGGACUGUGGCACACCUGUGACUUGCUCCUGUGGUGCAACAGAUGUCUGUCCCAUUGCAAUGCCAAAAUCUAGAGGCACAUUCUAAAAAACCUGAAAAAGAAAAGGGUGGACAUCCCAAUAAAAAUCCUUUUAAUAAGGUUAGUCUGAAGAAUCCCACUGCACAGCUGUUCUGUGGAGUUAUUCUCUUUCUACCUUUGUUGCAUUAUUUUUUUUCCUUUGGUAUGAAAAAUGUGUUUCAGUACUGGGGAAAAACAACGCUUCCAAUGAAACAAUGCUGAGCAAUGCUGAUCUUACAUCAAAAUGACUUUUGAUAUGAACAGUUGAAAUGCUAAAGGUUGUAUUUCCAGAAGCUGAAAGCACAUAUUAAAUGGAAGAAUAUUCACCUCUGCUUUAGCACAGUUUCCUCAAGCAGAAACAAAAAGGUAAGCUCCAAGCAUCCAUCUGAUUAGAAGCUAAAAGGAUCUGAUUUUACCACUGAGCAUGCUGUGUAAACAAGUGAGCAUGCCUUUAUCUCUCUUUAUACUUUGUGUUGUGAUCUCCUGUCCUUCUCAAGAUAUUUUCUGUGUCUUUUCUGGAAAAUAAAAGCACCAGUCCUAUUACCCAGAUGCCCCCGUGUGCCACCUGCUCUGUGAAUCCCACAAGGUGUUUCUCUGUGUAUUAGAAAAAUCAGCUGGGAUGACAGAUACAAGUACAGUAUGUUUACUUUAAACCUAAAACCCAAAGUCCCCAAACCUAAGCUGUUCCUUGACCAGGACCAUUAUUCCUUGAGGGUCACCUUCCGGAUUGCCCUGGGAGCAGCUGCAGAUGUUGACAGAUGCCAUAAGUGCUAUCUGACAUUAUAGAAAAAGGAGCCAGGUAACAACUGCAGGUUACUGUAAAAAAGUGACUUGGUUGCUUAAAAAAAGGAAAAUUAUAGCAAAUGAAUAUAUGAGGCAGUCAGUGACCUCUGAUACUGUGUAUCUGACUCCCUUAAUGCUUGACAAAUGGUUUAAGCUCAGUGGCUGGCUUUGGAGGAAUGGAGCAUGCACUCAGCCCAAGCAUAAGCGUUUUUUCCAGAAUAACACAGAAGUUAAUGUGCUACAAUAGAAGCAUCUGCUUUAUUUAAUGACCCAUUUCAUCAUGUGAUUCCUUUAGCUAUGAAAUGCCAGCAGUUUUCAAGCAGGCUAGGAGUGUCUCAGCACUGGUGUGCCUGUUAUUUAUGAGGGAAGAAAAGAAGUGAAUGAGAACUGUAAAUUAUUUCUGUGAAUGCUGGAGGUGUCCUCUUCUGACUGGGCCUGGCAUGGUGGCCCUUGGGGCAGCUUCUUCUCAUGCCAGGCACAAAUCUCUUCCUUGCCCCUUUCCCUACUCUCUACUGUUCAAAAAUAUCAUGUGUUUACAGGUAAAAUGCCAAAAAUGUUUUGGAAGAGUUCUGGUGUUAGGCUGCAGACUCUGCAAGGCAGUACUGGAGCUGCCCUCAUGCAAAGCAGAUGGGGGUGGGCCAUUUGGAGAUGCUGCUCUAACACUUGCCACUCCUCUUUGCUUUAUCCUCUGCCAUGGAGAAUAAAAAUGGAUGAGUUCUGCUCUUACUGUCCAGAAAGUAAUCUGGUUAAUAAUAAAUGGUGAUUAUAAAUUAUGCUACUUUAUGGAAUAUACUGGAGCAGAUGAGGCCAGUUGCCUACAAUCCCACAUUUUCUUCAUUUCUCUAGAAAAGUUAUAUUAAAAGAAUGAGGUACAGUAAAAUAUAAUUAUUCAGCAAGUGUUGCUAACUGUAAGAGAAUGCAAUGCAGUUGUAUCUUUUGUAUUUAAAGGUGAGAAGAGUUCUCUACAUAUUUCUCUAGCUUGUUCUUUAUAGCUUAUUCCUCAGACACUCCCUUAUAGUCCUUUCUGGUAAGGACACAGUUCAAAACAGCCACAGCAGAAUUCCCAGCAGGUAUGUGCAAAGCUGCAUAAAAAGCAUAAUAUCCACAAAGUUACUUUUCAAACUGUAGUCUGCCUAUGCAUUUGUUACAGCCCUACUGGGGGAAAAAUAGGAAAAAACUGUUUUCAACAGACAAUUGGAAGUAAAGUUCUUUACACCACUGCUUCUCCUACCUCAUCUGAGAGGGUUAUUCAGUCCAGAUUGUUUCUGUAAUCCAUUUCCUAGCAGAGCUCCGUGAGUGGCUGUGUGGCCUGGGUGGAGGAGGAGGAGUAAUGGAAAGAGGGGAUGGCCUUUGCCUCCCAGUGUCACCAGUGAUGCUGGGUUGAGUGACCCAGGCACCAGUGGCUCUCCAGCUGGUUGGGGCCCCAGGGGACCCUUCUGGCAGGGGGAAGUGUUCUGCAGCUGAUCCAUGAAAUGACUGUAAGUAGACAAACACAUACUCUUCUCAGGUGAGUGUGUUAAUGUGUGACAGAAGACGAAAGUUGGCUAAAAACAUAAAGUAACUUCUGGCCUAGUUAAGCAUAAACAUUUUUUCCUGGUAAGUUUUCUUACAGUUUAACAUUUUAUCUGGAAGUUUUUAUGAUGUCCUUUCUUUGCAUCUUGAGGAACUGUACUCAUUUUUUUCUCCAUUAUUGCAUUUCUAUCAAACAGGCAAAUAUAUUUUCUGUAUGCUUCUCUUCCAUGUAAUGUCCCCUUUUUAAUUUGUUUUUCAACAUGCUGCAGUUGCCAUGAAAGUCUCUUGUGAUCGCUGCAUUGGACCAAAGUUCAGAGUUGGUUGCUUUUCAUCAGAGACUCCGCCUGGCCUCUGUUCAUAUGCUCACUUGCUACAUUAAGUAGAUAAAAGCUUUUUUUUUCUUGAGUCAUUAUUUAUCUGUUUCCCAGGUUCCCAGAGCCUGGUAAUAAAGCUGUGUUAGGUUACUUGUUGUUUUUAAGUAGUGACAUACCCUGUUCUGCACUGACUGGAAGUAGAAUAGCCUCAAAAUAAAGGAAAAAAAAAAUGCAAAACCAUAUGGUGACAUGACCUUGAAGGGGAUCCCCUCUAUCACAAAUUCUCUCUGCCCCUUGUGUAUAAGUAGGGCUGCUAGGAACAGUAGAAAUGGUGUGUUUCUCAAAGUGUCCAAGGAGAGUAAUUGGAAUUUCAUUCUCUCAUUGUUACCUGUGAUACCCAGAAUUCAUGUCUUAAAGGGCAGUUUAUCUCUGGAGAGCUAAUAUAUAAAAAAGUGGUAAAUUCUUACAGAGCAGCUUCAUUUCCUGUGUGUAUACAGAUUUGGAUUUAGUUUUGCCUAUUGCAGAUGAAUUUCCUAAUUUUUUUCCCUGCAUAUUUUCUUCUUUUUCUUGCCCUGGAGAUGCACCUGGAGAAUAUUAAAGUGGAUUUUUUUCUGACUUUCCCAACACAAAAGAACCAUUAAAUAAGAUCUGGAUUUUGGUGCCAAGUUGAGUCCCCGCUUACAUCUGUGGAAGAACACUAAAGGCACAGAGAAAGCAUGUAGCCUGUGAAAACUUCAGCGAUGGAGGGUGUGUAUGACUCUGGAUAAACUCAGAGGGAGCUCUGCGUUAGUUGGAGUCAGAAAUACCCAUCUUCCUGUUUGUGAAACGACAGCCUCAUGUAAAUCAUGAAGACGUGACAAACCCUUGGAUGCUGCUCAUGCAGAAUUGGUCUGCGAAGCUGAGUUGUUUUUGAACAGUGAAAAUGAAAAGGAAAUCAAUGCCAUUAAAGAGAAUAAUGACAAACUCACCUCCUGCAAGGCCCAUCCAUAAACAAUUGCUCUUGGAUUCCAGUUUCUAUUUUGUUCAACUACACAUGUUUUAUGAAAGUCACACAGAGCUACGUGUACAACAAGAUGCCUGCAUGACAGAAAAAAUGAAGCAUCAGAAAGAUUAAUGUAAUGGUAAAAUAUGUGCAAAAAUAACAGUACUUUGCAUGUACAUUGAACAGAUGAGUUGCUCAUUUUACAGUAGUUGACUAUAUAAGGCUAUUUAUGCAUAAAUCACUUAGUUCAGCCUGACUUCUGCAGUGAUGGGACAUAAUUGAUCUUUAAAAGUUUUAUGAAAGAAUCACAGUCUGUGAAAUUAAAGGAAGUUCAGUUGUUUAAUUUUGCAUUUCUAUCAACUGCCAGGAAUAUCGUGAUGGUAGAAAAAUACCAGUUUUCUCCUAAAAACUUUUUAUAGAUAGUAUUAAAUCAGUAAGUAUAUUAAUGUAUUACUGCAAAAUAUUUAGCACCAUGGUAUUUUCAUUUAGUAUCUGGAAUUUAUGGAAUAAAAGCCAGCAACAUUGUGAUAAAUCGAUCCACUUCCAGGAGGAAUGAUGGUAAUAUUUCAUCAGCAUCAUACCUGAAUUGCAAGACUCUUCUUUUGGAACAGCAUCAGACAACUCAGGCAUAGGAAAGAUCUGGGUCUUGUGACUAUGGGCUACCUGCCUUUUGCUUAAGAAAUUGCUUGGUCAGUCUGGGAUAAAUGGGGAAAUAUUUUUCUUCUUUCCAUCACUUGAGAGCAAAAGGACAAGGGAAGAAGAAUGGGUAGAAUCACACUGCUCUUCCCCUGGUCAACAUGGGUGUCACAAUUUGGCAUAAAUACACUACAGCAGUAAACCUCUUUCUUCUGGAAUCCAGGAAGGAUCAAGAGUCUCCUGAACCACUGUAUCUAUCCCACAGUUUAAUGGUGGUACAGCACCACUUGGCUAUUGAGUGUGUCCUUGUGACAAAACGAAGGCAUCAGUUGUUGCUGUACUAGAGAUUGUGAUUAAUGCACUGACAAUAGCUGCUACUACAUGCAGUUUUAACUGAAGUACCACUUUCUUCACCUCCUUUUGCAUCUUAGUUUUGAAACAAUUGCUCAACAAUUUAAUCUUCCUUCUUUUCUAGGCUCUUUAUAGUAGGAAUUAUAAUGAGAAGUCCCUGCACAGCCACCCCUUUAUCCCUUCAGCUGUUUAUUUUUGAAUAUGUGUCAAAUACAUCUUCUGCACAUUUUUCAAAGAUGGUUAAUGUUUUGAAAUUGGAAAAGCAGGCAGAGAGCUGUGAGUCAGCCUGGCUAUGGCAAUGGCUUUAGCUGUAUAUUAUGUACUUUAAUGUGUAGCAGGCUUGAGCUGAUGAGGGAGAUGGAAACUAUUCCCAAGGCCCAGGUACUUUCAUGGACAUGAAAGAUAAAUUGCUUAACCUCUUAGAAGGGCCUCAUGUGUUGCAGUGGCUUGCCUCAGACCCCAGUGGUAGAUGAAGGAACUCUUCCUGUGUUUUGGGCCUGCUGGGUUUCCAAUGGUUGUGCACAAAGGCCUCUGAUGAUUUAUUCUUAUCCUCCUCUGUGAUACUCCCAAAUCCCUCUGGGUCCUCCUGAUGUCCUGAUGAGCAGCUGGCUUAUCCUUAGCCCUUUGUGUAGGGAUGAAAGAGUGUCCUGAGUUGCAGUGUAUCCUAUUGCCAUCCUCAUGAGAUGUUGAGAUCAGGUGGGGCAGUGUUUCCUUGCCUCCUCCCCCCAGACUAUCUUUCUGUUAAUGGCCCAUCAUUGU